rnacentral:tRNA from 1 species
CCGAACAUGGUGUAGUGGUCAGCACUCUCACCUCACAAGCGAGACGCUGGUUCAAAUCCCUGCUGGGA